UUGGUCCUGUCACUGGCACCACUGAAAAGAGCCUGGCUUUGUCCUCUUUUCACCCUCCCUUCAGGUAUUUGUAUACGUUGACAAGUUCCCGCCCUAAGCCUUCUCUUCUCCAGGCUGAACAGUCCCAGCUCUGCCAGCCUUUCCUCAUAUGUGAGGUUCUCCAGUCCCUUCAUAAUAUUUGUGGCCCUUUGCUGGGCUCCUUCCAGUAUGUCCAUGUCUCUCUUGUACUUGGGAGCCUAGCGCUGGGCACAGCACACCAGGUGUGGCCUCCCCAGUGCCGAAUAAAGGGGAAGGAUCACCUCCCUUGACCUGCUGGCAAUACUUUACCUUAUGCAUCCCAGGAAAUCAUUACCCUUCUUUGUGGCAAGGGCCCGUUGCUACCUUAUGUAAGCUUUGACUGCUUUCACUUUUAUUAGGAAGCAUGGACGUCAUCAGAUUUGCAGAAAUUGGGAAACACUAAAUAUAAGCACACUGGGGAGAUCUUCCAGAAAAUUCCGUACAGAUUGAACUUUAAAAUGGGAGCUUCUAAGCCUAAAAGGACAAUGAAUCCUGAAUGAUACAGGACAAAGCUUAAUGAUUCAGGAAUGGACCACAUAGAGCUCUAAGGCACUGGAUGUGAGUGGAGCUGGAGUGACUUGGAUAUGAGGUGCCAGUUGGUACUUGGCUGCGUUGCAGCUAUGAAAAAGUGAGAAGUGCAAGAAAACUUGAGGGUACAUCCAAGGAGGAAGGAGCACAGAUGCACUUCAUAAGGAGGAAGAAGCACAGACACACUCUCAAGAAUUGCGUGUUGCUUUCUACAGCGCAAGAAGAGUAGAACUGAGGAAGAGGAGAAUGAAGUUUGAGGAAAUAUCAUCAGGAGGAGGAAUUGGGGGAAUCCCUAGCCUGGGGAUGGUUGGCAGGAAUAUAAGAGAGAGAGAGAGAAAAGAUCUGGGACAAAGGAAGCAGAAGCUUUAAGAGAAUCAAAGACCAAAUCAAGCAAGAAAAGUGAGGAGAUGGCAAAUGAAACUUUACUAGCUGUACAAGAAGACAAGUGCUUUCCAUUGUAAGAGAAUGGUGGCUGCUCUCAUUUGUAACCAUGAAAUAGGUUCAACAGCAGAAACUGACUGUUUUGGACAGGAUUUACUUUUGAAAAGUCUGAAGCCACAUUUCACUGCGAAAGAGGGGAAUGGACAUGGGUAAGUAACAUGUUCUUAUUUGCAGAUAUUAUGGCUUUGAAACUAUCCAUUUUGUGUCACUGGAAGCAUAAUAAUUUCAUAGCAAGAACAUCCGUAACACAAUCAGCUUACCUUGAACUUUUCUUUUUUUUUAAAGUUAGUAUCUGUAGUGAAUAGUAUCGCUGUUUUAUAGCUGGGGAAACUGGCAAGAUAGGUGCCAUGACUUGACACUGUAAGUAAUGUGAUAUUCUAAGUCCCAUCCCAGUACAUUACUGUCAGCCCUUUUGUCCUAUUUAAUCAUGUCUUUUACGAUAAAAAUACUGGAAUAAUGUUUCCCUUUGGAAAUGUUUUGAGCAAAUAACCUCAUAAUAAAUGAUACUGCAGUAAUUUAUCCUUUGCGUUUAGCAGAAUAAUCAUUGGCAUGACUCGGUGGCUACACAAGGAAAGAACAGGUCACCGGUACCAAAUAUCCCACAAUUUUUAAACUACUGCUGCUGGUAUUAACAAUAACAACAUUGACUAUGGCAAAUGAUUCUGCAAAUGAUUCUGUCUUUUUUCUUUCCAUUGAAUUUAAAAUAUUCAGUAGCACUCUGAGAAGCCGUGAAAUCUGCAGGGCUUUUUAACCUGAAAUUCAUGCUUUGCAUAUGAAAUCUGGUUUCGAAGCCUCAUGUAUUCAGGUAAACAGAAAUAUUCAUUUUCUUGGCCUCCCUCUGUUCAGGUUGCUCAUAUUAGCACAGUUGUGCAUGUAUCACUGUACAAAAACGUUUAGGACAUUUCCUGUAAUUUCAUACUCGGGGCUAGUUUUGAGAAACUAACUUGUUUUAACAGUUAUUUCUUCUUUGUGAACCAUGAAGUAAGAAGUUAUUGGUCUAACGGCAGAAACUGAUGAAGAUGUGCAUGUCUGGCUAGUCCAACCAGGAUUAUCUGUGGUGAAACAGAGGACAAAGGAUGCCAGAUUUGGAGUCACCAUCAUGUUUCCUGCAUUCUUGUUGCUGGGUGACCAUGUGCUCAUUUUGGAAGUGCCUUUUGUACUCUUCAGGGACCCAGGUCCAUGAGUCAUUAAGCAAUGUUGUUGAUUGACUGCCUGUCCUUCUUUCUCCUGUGAGUUGUCUAUCUUUAGUUUUAGGCUGUCCUUUGUUUUCCCAGUCUGUGUGUUUCAAGAAUCUGACUGUGAUCUCAAUGACCUGCUGGUGCUGUCAAGUCAAGCCAUUCUUUUGUCCCUUCUGAUCUUGUCAUUUCUUCUGGUGCUUUCAUACAUGUUUCUGAGUGUAAUUUGUUCAUUUCAACCUGAAUGUUUCUAUUACAAAUCUCUGCAUUAUGAAGUACAUCAGGUCACACAAAUGAGCUAAACGAGGGAAGUACAGUGUCUCAAACAGGUGAUGAGCUAUAGAGAGGAUCCUGGGCUAAGUACUGUAGCUGUCACACUGAAAUUACAUUUGGAGGCAGUUUUGUGCUGGUCAUUCUGACAGAAUAGCGUUAAUUACCAAUGAAAGUCCACCAGUGUAAACUAGCUCACUCACUUGUUAAGGCAUGAGGGGUACUUGGGUUUUUUGGUGACUUUUUGGUCACCAAACUCAAUGCUAUGAACACUUUUGGAAGGAGGACAGUGAGAUGAACCCUCUGGAAUGACUAUAUCAGUGCUCUUUUGUAUACUAUUGCUCCACUGAGCGUUACCUAAUAAUAACAACAGUGCUAAUACAGGCUUUUGUAAGAGGAGUACCUGAAUUUAGGUACUGGUAACUUUGAGAGGGUCUACACUGUUCUUUCAUGUAUGGAUCUGGUUUUGGUUGAAUAAUGGCCUAUGGUUCCUGGAAGCUCAUUAAAUGUCAUCCAUCUUUUAGGUAGUUAAAAGAUUGAGACAACUAGGGGUUAAGCAUGUUUAUAUGAGGGUUUGAGAGAGAAUACUGAAUAGUAGAAUAAUACUGAACCAGAAUAAAUGUUUUAUGGAGGAUGUUGCAGGUGAGUAUAAGAUGAUGCUCCUACCUGUCUAAUAACCAAAGGUUAACUGCUGUAUUUAAUGUUUCCAAAAUUUUAACCCUGUAGUGCAUGAUGGUGAGUGAUGUAUUAGGACUUUUCCUUUGAGGGAAACAAAACAAAACAAAAAAAACCCCACCACCACGCUAAAGAAAAAAAAAAAUGCAUAAAUUUAACAGCAUCUCAGUUAAAAUGAAAUGUAAAGUUUAUUUUUUUGUUAUAGAGAUGGAGCCAAUGACAGCAAAAGUUAAAAGAUAACAGACAGAAGAUCCAUGAAUAGGUUUAGCAGACUCCUGAUAUCACCAGAAGCUCCUACAGAAGGAAAGCGUUCCAGCCUGGAACUAAGAUAACUAUCGAUAACAAUUGUUUGUUAUUGCCAUCUCCCACUUGCACCCUGUUGCUAUUGUUAACUGUAUCUUGCUUACCUUUGCUUUGGAUGGUUCUGUUUGUAGUCUUACAUACAUAUGUUAAAACAGAAAGAUACCAUGCUUA